GCUCCAAUAGCGUAUAUUAAAGUUGUUGCAGUUAAAAAGCUCGUAGUUGAAUUUCUGGGCUGGCCGGGAGGCGGCCUUCGGUCGACCUCCCCGCGAGUCAUCCUCGCCUCGGGGCGUCAUUUACUGUGAAAAAAUUAGAGUGUUUAAAGCAGGCUUCUGGCUUGAAUACAUUAGCAUGGAAUAAUGAGAUAGGACCGAGU
rnacentral:rRNA from 1 species